CUCAUAAUAUGAAGAAAAAAAUAGAUUAAUAUAAUCUUUCUAAGUCCAGUUUAAGUGAUUCACCAAUAACUUGUCUCAGUUAGAACUCAGUUUACCAGCCAAGCAUUCACCUCCCUUAACUUAAAACAUUUCUUGUUCUUCUUUGCCUUUACCUGCUUCAGUGUUCAGAGUUAUGACUGGGAUGUGCGCUACGUGUCCUCCCUUAAUGCACAACACUGUUUUCCACCUCAAUUAUUGCAGGAAGCAAGGUUAUAUGAAGAAGUAAAUGUGUGAUAAAAUAGCUGGUCUUUGUUGUAAUGCUUGUGUAUCAUGAAGUGUUAUAAGUUUGCAUAGCCAGUUUCAAUCCAGGUAUUUCCCAAAGAAUGAAAUUGUUAUUACAGUUUCACUGUUCAUAAACAACUUCUUUUAGCAUACAGGGAAUACACAUGCAGACAUACAUAGAUGCACCUGCAUCACUUAACCUGUUCUGCCAUUUUCUUUCUUUGACCCUCCGUUCAUGUUACUAACAAGAGCUAAUCUUAGCUAGCUAAUGAGAUCUGACAUUAUCGCAGUCCAUUGCAGGAUGGCUGGAGGCUAGAGGAUUUUGUGUAUCUUGUUUUAUUCAUAUGUUGUCCUGGAGAGAAAUGGAAACAUCACGUAAAAGCACUGAGCACUCAGUGUCUGCCUCUGGGCAAAAUACAGGUAAAAGACCCCUUUAAAAUAAAAUCAUAUAAAAUUUAAUGUAAUUUCUAUAUUUUUUAAUAGAAAGACUGUUCAUAAUAGAGGCAUGUCUUACUCUGACCUCAUCUGCCUUGCAUAAAUGCAGAAUUUUUGCAGAUGGGGGAAGACUUACUGUAUAAUUACAUCAGGUUAGCUGAGGUCAAUAAUACUGGAAACAUAUAUUGAUGUGGUGAGUAGCAUUUAUUAAUUUAUUUUCUCUCUCUUACUUCUAGCCAGAAAAUCUUAAAUACUUUUUCAUGAUCACAAUUCCUCUUCAUCUCCUGCUUAUCAAGUAUUCUAGGACAGCAUCCUAUUGUUAUUUUGAGAUAAACCUCUGCCAUGCUGCAGCUUUUUGAGUGCCUUGAAGCUUGCAAAUGACUCAUGUGGCACACUCCCUUCCCUUUAGCCAACAUUGAAGAAGCCUGGAAAAACUAUGUUUGGGAAUGAUCCUCCUCCUGGCUUACAUCACAAAUGACUUCUAUUACAGGAUAAAGCCUGAAGGCACAAUCCAGCCUGAAAUACAUAGUCAUCAUGAACUGUAAAAAUACUUCAUAACAGAAGUUAAAUACUCCAAAUCAUUUACAAUUCUAAACCCAAAUCCCUAUCAGUCUACAUUUCCAAAUUCUUCAAGUAUGUUUUCUUUUUCAAUAAAUGCCAAUAAGAGAUAA